CUGCCAGCAGCCUGGGAGGCAGGAGCUCCUGGAGUGAGGAUGCAGAGAGAAGCCUAAGAUUUUUUUUCCAGCUUAAUUCUUGUGUUAAUUCCCAUAUUACCAAAUCAUUUCCUAUAUGGUACAUUAUCCAAAGUUUUACUGAAGUCAAAACAGAUGAGAUCUACAAGAUUUACAGGGCCUAGAAAAUCAGGUAAUUAAACAUCUGGCACUCCAAGAAUGGGGAUAGACAAAAAAAUUAUACUAUGGGUCAUGUGUCUGUCUGCUCCUAUGCUAAUGUAAGUGAA